rnacentral:rRNA from 1 species
GGGGCCCGCACAAGCGGUGGAGCAUGUGGUUUAAUUCGAUGAUACGCGAAGAACCUUACCAGGUCUUGACAUCCCCCGCAAUGCUAUGGAGACAUAGCGGAGGUAUUCGGGAGACAGGUGGUGCAUGGUUGUCGUCAGCUCGUGUCGUGAGAUGUUGGGUUAAGUCCCGCAACGAGCGCAACCCUUAUUGCUAGUUACCAUCAUUGAGUUGGGGACUCUAGCGAGACUGCCAGUGAUAAACUGGAGGAAGGUGGGGAUGACGUCAAAUCAUCAUGCCCCUUAUGACCUGGGCUACAAACGUGAUACAAUGGCUGAAACAGAGGGAGGCGAAGGGGUGACCUGGAGCGAAACCCAGAAAAACAGUCUCAGUUCGGAUUGAAGUCUGCAACUCGACUUCAUGAAGUCGGAAUCGCUAGUAAUCGCGGAUCAGAACGCCGCGGUGAAUACGUUCUCGGGGUUU